GAUCCAGAUGUCUUGGAGGGCAUAUUCUAUUACAUGGACGACACUUGCCUUGUGAUGGAUCUCGAGUACCAGGGCCAUUUGUGCCUUCUCUGGGUUCGUAAUGAGGCUAAGGACAACAUUCCACAGAAAUGCUUCGCACACUUUACCGACGCCUGCGGAGGGCCCGUCCGCCAACGCAAAAAGCAACUCUGCCCCGACGUCUAGGUCGACAACUGCAUCGACAGCAACUUUAUUUUAUUAAAGUGUAUAAAAAGGUGUCACCAUUCACAGAUUAGCUUGGUUUAAAAUUAAACACAUCCGACGUGAUUGAUUGUUCGAA